rnacentral:rRNA from 1 species
UUAAUUGAAGAGUUUGAUCAUGGCUCAGAUUGAACGCUGGCGGCAGGCCUAACACAUGCAAGUCGAGCGGCAGCACAGAGGAACUUGUUCCUUAGGUGGCGAGCGGCGGACGGGUGAGUAAUGCCUGGGAAAUUGCCCGGUAGAGGGGG